UACGGAGGGUGCAAGCGUUAUCCGGAUUCACUGGGUUUAAAGGGAGCGUAGGUGGCUUUGUAAGUCAGUGGUGAAAGCUCGGAGCUUAACUCCGGAACUGCCAUUGAUACUGCUUAGCUUGAAUCGGUUCGAGGCGGAUGGAAUGUGACAUGUAGCGGUGAAAUGCUUAGAUAUGUUACAGAACACCAAUUGCGAAGGCAGUUCGCCAGACCCGUAUUGACACUGAGGCUCGAAAGCGUGGGGAUCAAACAGG
rnacentral:rRNA from 1 species